rnacentral:rRNA from 1 species
UACGUAGGGUGCGAGCGUUGUCCGGAAUUACUGGGCGUAAAGAGCUCGUAGGUGGUUUGUCGCGUUGUCCGUGAAAACUCACAACUCAAUUGUGGGCGUGCGGGCGAUACGGGCAGACUGGAGUACUGCAGGGGAGACUGGAAUUCCUGGUGUAGCGGUGAAAUGCGCAGAUAUCAGGAGGAACACCGGUGGCGAAGGCGGGUCUCUGGGCCGAAAUUGACGCUGAGGAGCGAAAGCGUGGGGAGCAAACAGG